ensembl:lncRNA
GUGUGCGUGUGUGUGUGUGUGUGUGUCUAGACUGGCCAAUGGUUUUCUUGGGGAUCAUGUUAAUAAAUGGGGCUCAUCAGGCUCCGUUCAAAGUGCAGACACUGUUAAGCUUCUUUUCAAUACUGGCGCUAAAUUUAGCCGCAAAAAAAAUGGAGCAAAACGCAACGCGGCGUGCGGCUCUGGUGUCGCGUCCGGGAAUAGUCGACCAGUCACACACGCUGCGAGACGAGACCGGAAUACACUGGUUCGACUGGAUAUUAACGCAGACUUUAACUACUACACUUCCCUAUCAGAACUCGCACACCGGGUUGAGGUCAUGAGGGCUGGGGAGGAGAGAGCCACAGGCAUCACCAAGAGCCAACCGGAGAAAAGAGUCCAGCCAAGGGACCAAUCGGAAAAGAAAACUCUGAGCAUUGACAACCAACCACAGAGCAUCAAGAACACCAAGUCGGCCAUCAAUGACCUCUUUAAGGAAAUGCAGGACCGGGUGUCCCAGGGGAAGGGGAACACGGGCAGGGUCAUAGACUUCAGGAAGUUCCUGAAACGGCCCGACAGACCUCCUCCCCCCCCCCCUGCUGCGCCUCGUCGCAAGGCGUCCCCGCCCCCGCCCCGGCUGGUGAAGAGGAAGGUGGAGGUGGACCUGCUGAAGCUCUGCUGGGGGGAGUCGUGGAAGACCCUCAAGCCGACCAAGAGGGGGCGCUGUCACCAAACCUCCUCGCUGAGGAGCACCAUCAGCCCGGGCAGGAGGUCCCGGGCAGGAGCCGCCAGGGGCGGGAGGAGGAGGCCAGCCCGGGAUGGACAGACUCCUGGAAACUGGUGAAGCCCAGCCCAGCGCCUCCCGGCCCCACCGGCGUGGGGGAGGGCCAGGCGUGGGAGGUGGUGACAGAGAGCCGGUCCCUGGGCAGGUAUCAGCCGCGGGUGGGGGGCUACUGCCUCCCCGUGUGGGCCACGACCUGGAAGACCAUGAUCUUUGUGUUCAGGCAGCAGAAGCCAUGGUGGGACAGGGAGUGGCCCAGCCGGCCCCCCCCUGAACCACAGGACAAGACCCCCCAGCUGCUGGCCUUGGAGACACAGUGUGAGCGUCCCGACUGGCAGCAGGCCUGGAGAAUGUCUGUAACUGCUCCGCCGGCCGACACAGAACCCCCAGCUGGGACAACCAAGAUGGCCGACGUCUUUCUCCCAGGUUGGAACUCUGCCUGGCGACUGGCAGGAGCUCACCCUACUUCAGACGAGGGUGCAGAGCCAAGGAACUGGAACGACCUGUCCUGGAAGCUCCGCCCACAGAGCAGAUGGUGUAUGCCAUCACUAACUUCCCAGCAUCACCAUGCCAAUGCUUUAGAGAAGAGCCGAUUGGCUGCCAGAUUCCUUCUGACUCAGUCCCUCAAGACAGAGGGGGAGGACGAGGAAGAGGGCGAGGAAGAGGAGAUGGAAGAGGAGACAGAAGAGGAGACAGAAGAGGAGGAGACAGAAGAGGAGGAGGAGACUGAAGAGGAGGAAGAGGAGGAGGAGACUGAAGAGGAGGAGGAGAGGCAGGAGGGCUCCAUGAAGGUUCUUCGUCUGCGGUUCCGUGAGUUUGGUGCGGCGUGGAGGAGCAGUUCCUGGCGGGCGUUCCACCGCCCGGAGGAGAAGGAGGAGAUGGACUCCGGCUGGAGGAGCGCCUGGAGGCUCCACAGGGAGGUGCAGGCUAACAGCGUGCAGGAGGAAGUGCUGCUCCUCAGGGGGCGGGGCCUCUGGGCCGAUGAUGGCCUUCCAGACCUCAAGGAGUGGAAGAAGAGCUGGAGAUACGCAGCAAAGGAGGAGGAAGAGGAGGAGGAGGAGGAGGAGGAGGAGGAGGAGGAGGAGGAGGAGGAGGGAGACGAGAAGGUCGAGGAGGAAAAUAAAAUAGAAGAAGUGAAGCCAUGGUGGAGGAGCUCAAGAUACGCAGAAGAAAAGCAGGUACAGGAGGAGGAAGAGGAGGAGGAGGAAGAAACAGAGCAGGAGGAGGAGGAAGACGAGAAGGUGGAGGAGGAGGAAAAUAAAAUAGAAGAAGUGAAGCCAUGGUGGAGGAGCUCGAGAUACACAGAAGAGAAGCAGGUACAGGAGGAGGAAGAGGAGGAGGAGGAAGAAACAGAGCAGGAGGAGGAGGAAGACGAGAAGGUGGAGGAGGAGGAAAAUAAAAUAGAAGAAGUGAAGCCAUGGUGGAGGAGCUCGAGGUAUGCAGGAGAGAAGGAGCAGUUGAAGGAAAAGGAGGAGGAGAAAGAAGAAGAGGACGAGGAGGUGGAAGAGGAGAAGGUGGAGGAAGUGAAAGAGUGGAGGAGGAACUGGAGACAGGCGAGAGAGAAGGAUGAGGAAACUGUGGAGGAGGAGAAGGAGGAUGAGACAGAAGAGGAGGAAGAGGAGAAGGAUGAGGAGACAGACCAGGAGGAGGAGGAAGAGGUGGAAGAGGAGGAGGAGGCAAAUAAAAUAGAAGAAGUGAAGCCAUGGUGGAGGAGCUCGAGAUAUGCAGGAGAAAAAGAGGAAGAGGAGACAGAGAAAGAGGAGAAGGAGGAGGAAGAGACAGAGCAGGAUGAGGAGGAAGAGGAGGAGGAGGAUGGGGAAGAGGAGAAGGUGGAGGAGGUGAAAGAUUGUAGGAGGAAUUGGAGAAAGGCAGGAGAGAAGGAUGAGGAGAUUGAGGAGCAGGGGCAGGAGGAGGAGACAGAGCAGGAGGAGGAGGAAGAUAAAGAGGUGGGGGAGGAAGAUAAACUAGAAGAAGUGGUGCCGUGGUGGAGGAGCUCGAGAUACCAAAGAGAGAAGGAGGAGGUGAAGGAAAAGGAGGAGGAGAAAGAAGAGGAGGAGGUGGAACUGGAGGAUGAGAAAGAAAGGGAGGAUGGGGAAGAGGAGGUGAAGGAGAGGGAGGAAAAUGAUGAAGAGGGAGCAACAGAGGAGAAGGGGAAGGGGGAGGAUCAAUUAGAGGAGAAGAUGAAUGAUUGGAGGAGGAGCUGGAGAUCCCCAGGAGAGGAGGAGGGAGAGGAGAAGGAGGAGGAAGAGGAGGAGGAAGAGGAGGAGGAGGAGGAGACAGAGGAGGAGGAGAAGGAGGAAGAGGAGGAGACAGAGCAGGAUGGGGAGGACGAGGAAGAGGUGGAGGAGGAGGAAAAUAAAAAAGAAGAGGUGGUGCCGUGGUGGAGGAGCUCGAGAUAUGCAAGAGAGAAGGAGAGGGUGAAGGAAAAGGAGGAGGAGAAAGAAGAGGAGGAUGAGAAAGAUGGGGAGGAGGAUGGGGAAGCGGGGAAGGUGGAGGAGGUGAAAGAUGAAGAGGAGACAGAGCAGGAUGAGGAAGAGGAAGAGAAAGAGUUGGAGGAGGCAAAGAUUGAAGAGGAGGAGAAGGAGGAGGAGGCUGAGGAGGAGACAGAGAAGGAUGGGGAGGAAGAGAGAGAGGUGGAGGAGGAGGAAAAUAAACUAGAAGAAGUGGUGCCGUCGUGGUGGAGCUCGAGGUACGCAGGAGAGAAGGAGAGGGUGAAGGAAAAGAAGGAGGACAAAGAAGAGGAGCUGAUGAAAGAGUGGAGGAAGGACUGGAGACAGGCAGGAGAGAAGGUGGAGGAGGAGCACGAGGAGGAGGAGGAAGAGCAGGAUGAGGAGGAAGAGAAAGAGGUGGAGGAGGAAGAGAUUGAAGAGGAGGGGAAGAAGGAGGAGCAAAAUGAUGAAGAGGGAGCAACAGAGGAGGUGGGAAAGGGGGAGGAUUGGAGGAGGAGCUGGAUAUCCCCAGGAGAGGAGGAGGGAGAGGUGAGAGAGAAGAAGGAGGAGGAGGAGGAGGAGGAGGAGGAGGAGGAGGAGGAGGAGGAGGAGGAGGAGGAAGAGACAGAGCAGGUUGAGGAGGAAGAGGAAGAGGUGAAGGAGGAGGAAGAGAUGGAGGAGGAGGAAAAUAAAAUAGAUAAGGUACAGGUGCAGGAAGAGGAGGUGAAGGUUGAGCUGGAGGAGGUGAAGGAGGAGGAUGAGACAGAUGGGGAUGAGGUUAAUGAGGAGGUGACGGAGGGUGAGAUGAAGCAGUGGUGGAGGAGCUGGAGAUUCGCAGGAAUGGUGAAGGAGGUGAAGGUUGAAAAGGAGAACGAAGAGGAGGUGAAUGAGUGGAGGAAGAGCUGGAGAAACACUGUAGAGGAGGAGGAGGAAGAGGAGGAGGAGGAGGAGGAGGAGGGAGAGGUGGAGGAGAAGCUAGAAGAGGAGAAGGUUGAGCAGGAGGAGGGGAGGGUAGAGGAUGCUGAUGAGGAGACAGAUGAGGAAGAGGUUCAGGAAAAGCAAGAUGAGGGAGAGGUGAAGGAGCAGGUGAAGGGGGAAGAGAUGGUGAAGGAAGAGGAAGAUGAAGAGGAGGAGGACUCAAAUGAGGAGGAAGAGGUAAAGGAGGAGGAGGUGAAGGUUACGGUAGAGGAGGUAGAUGAGGUUAGGGUGGAGCAGGAGAAGGAUAAUGAUGAAGAGGAGGAGACUGAUGAGGAGGAAGAGGUGAAGGUUGAGGUAGAGGAGGUAGAUGAGGUUAAUGUGGAGCAGGAGGAGGAGGACUAUAAAGAGGUGGAAGAGGUGAAGGAUGAGCAGGAUGAGGUAGAGGAGGAGGGUGAUGAAGAGGAGGAGACAGAUGAGGAGGAAGAGGUGAAGGAGAAGGUAGAGGAGGAAGAGGGAGGUGAGGUGAAGGUAGAGCAGGAGAUAAUGAAGAGGCCGAGACAGAUGAGGAGGAAGAGGUGAAGGUUGAGCAGGAGGAGGAGGAUGAAGAGGAGGAGACAGAUGAGGAGGAAGAGGAGAAGGAGAAGUUAGGGAAGAUGAAUGGGUCGGAGGAGUUGAAGGAGGGAGAUAAAGCAGAGGAAGGGGAGGUAGAUGAGAUAAAGGACAGGACGAGGAGAUCGAGAAACUCAGGAGGGAUGCAGGAGGUGGAGGUAGAGGAGGAAGAAGUGUUUGAGGAUGCGAUGGAAGAGUUUGAGGAUGCGAAAGAAGGGCAUGGCAUAGAUGCUGAGAAAGACGAGGAAGUAGAGGAGACAAAACAGUGGGAAAACUCUUAAUGUGAUUGUCCUCAUAUGUAUAAUAAAUUCCUAUUUAAUUGUAUCAUUCACAUUUAUAUAACAUGAAAGUAUAUUGUAUUUUUGUGUUCCCGUAUACAGUAGUAUGUUCCUGUAUGAGAUUUGUAUUAUUUAUAUUAAUUAUUUUAUGAUAUGUGUUAUAAUGAUAUUUCCCAGUUAAAUUGUUUUUUUUAAGUUACUUAUUGAUAUAUUAAUGAUAAUGUUGAAUAAUGCAAAGUAUGAUUAUUGUUGGAUUCCCUUCGGACAAAAACUUUGAAAACUAGAAAGAAUUAUUCAAGGGUUAAUUCUUCAAGUCUAGAGUGUUAAGAAAUUACUUUCAGUCGAUAAAAACUGUCUUAAUUAAAACUUUUUAUUGAAA